rnacentral:rRNA from 1 species
GAUGAACGCUGGCGGCGUGCUUAACACAUGCAAGUCGAACGGACAGGCCCUGCUUUUGCGGGGUGCUCGAGUGGCGAACGGGUGAGUAACACGUGAGUAACCUGCACUUGACUUUGGGAUAACUUUAGGAAACUGGGGCUAAUACCGGAUAGGAGAUCUUGCUGCAUGGUGGGGGUUGGAAAGUUUCGGCGGUGGGGGAUGGACUCGCGGCUUAUCAGCUUGUUGGUGGGGUAGUGGUUUACCAAGGCUUUGACGGGUAGCCGGCCUGAGAGGGUGACCGGCCACAAUGGGACUGAGAUACGGCCCAGACUCGUACGGUAGGCAGCAGUGGGGAAUAUUGCACAAUGGGCGGAAGCCUGAGGCAGCAACGCCGCGUGCGUGAUGACGGCCUUCGGGUUGUAAACCGCUUUCGCCUGUGACGAAGCGUGAGUGACGGUAAUGGGUAAAGAAGCACCGGCUAACUACGUG